GAUGAACGCUGGCGGCGUGCCUAAUACAUGCAAGUCGAGCGAACUGAUUAGAAGCUUGCUUCUAUGACGUUAGCGGUGGACGGGUGAGUAACACGUGGGCAACCUGCCUGUAAGACUGGGAUAACUUCGGGAAACCGAAGCUAAUACCGGAUAGGAUCUUCUCCUUCAUGGGAGAUGAUUGAAAGAUGGUUUCGGCUAUCACUUACAGAUGGGCCCGCGGUGCAUUAGCUAGUUGGUGAGGUAACGGCGCACCAAGGCAACGAAGCAUAGCCGACCUGCGAUGGUGAUCGGCCACGCUGGGACUGAGACACGGCCCAGACUCCGACGGGAGGCAGCAGUAGGGCAUCUUCCGCAAUGGACGGAAGUCUGACGGAGCAACGCCGCGUGAGUGAUGAAGGCUUUCGGGUCGUAAAACUCUGUUGUUAGGGAAGAACAAGUACAAGAGUAACUGCUUGUACCUUGACGGUACCUAACCAGAAAGCCACGGCUAACUACGUGCCAGCCGCCGCGGUAA
rnacentral:rRNA from 1 species